rnacentral:rRNA from 1 species
CAUGCAUGCUUAGUAGCGGCGAGUGAGCGGCAAAGCUCAAAUUUGAAAUCUGGCUCUUUCAGAGUCCGAGUUGUAAUUUGAAGAAGGUAUCUUUGGGUCUGGCUCUUGUCUAUGUUUCUUGGAACAGAACGUCACAGAGGGUGAGAAUCCCGUGCGAUGAGAUGAUCCAGGCCUAUGUAAAGUUCCUUCGAAGAGUCGAGUUGUUUGGGAAUGCAGCUCUAAGUGGGUGGUAAAUUCCAUCUAAAGCUAAAUAUUGGCGAGAGACCGAUAGCGAACAAGUACAGUGAUGGAAAGAUGAAAAGAACUUUGAAAAGAGAGUGAAAAAGUACGUGAAAUUGUUGAAAGGGAAGGGCUUGAGAUCAGACUUGGUAUUUUGUAUGUUACUUCUUCGGGGGUGGCCUCUACAGUUUAUCGGGCCAGCAUCAGUUUGGGCGGUAGGAGAAUUGCGUUGGAAUGUGGCACGGCUUCGGUUGUGUGUUAUAGCCUUCGUCGAUACUGCCAGCCUAGACUGAGGACUGCGGUUUAUACCUAGGAUGUUGGCAUAAUGAUCUUAAGUCGCCCGUCUUAA